AAUUAUCAUAUGUAAAAGAAGAGUAGUUAUUUCUAUGAGUGUAUAAUUAACGUGCAGCGGCGGAUCUACAAUUUUAUUAGGGGGCUGAAGGCAAAGUAAAUGUAACUGCAUUAUACAAAGUAUUAAAGCAUUAACGGAUAUCAUAUAAUUGAAGACGUAGUAGUGGAAUUUUGCUAAUGAAUAUAAUUUACGAAUUUCAAACUUAUUACAUUUAUAGCCCGAAAGCCCCCCUCGUAGAUCCGUCACUGUUAACGUGUAUAUAUUUAAUAUUCUGAUUCAUUAAAAGGAUAAUUAAAAGCAGAACAUAAAACAUAAAAAACUGAUUACAUCCUCAAGGUCCAAUGUUUGUAUUAUUUAAAGCUGACAUACUGUCUACAGCUACAACACAAUAGGCAUAAUUACUAGCGAAGCAGCGCACAGUGUCACAACCAAUGGACAAAAAUUAAAAAAAAGACAGAGCAAUGGACAAACAUUAAAAAAAAAUCGGCUUUUUCAGAAGUCAAUCUAGCAUUAUGGCAAAGUUGAAUGUUAAGAGAAGAUGGAAAUUGCGACCCACAACUUUCCACACGACAAAUGCACAUUCGCCUCAGCGAAAUUCUUAUACCAGGCAUAAUAUGACAUUUAUCUUAAUGAAAAAAUUUGAGAAAAUUGUUGGAAUCUAUAACAAUAAACUCUGAUAAUUUGUUUCAA